rnacentral:lncRNA from 1 species
CUCUGACUAGGAAACAACUGUCUCCUGUGUGUUUCAUGUCUAUUCAGAAGUGCUCUUCAAACUACUCAGUCUGGAAGCUGAUAUUAAAACUACCUUCUCAGUGGAGAGGCAAGUGUUCCUGUGCACUGAAGCUGGCCACAAUUCCUUGGACAAGUCCCUAAUUGUUGUCACUGAACAGUGUGGAACCUGGCUUUUCGGAUGUGACCUGGAAAAUGAUGCAGGGAUACAGGUGGCUGAGCAGAGGCCCUGGAAACAGCUGUCUCCAUCUUCUCAAUCUGCCGUGCAUAGAGUUGUAUGA